AAGCAUUAACGUCACAAGGACGGUUUAUUUACAACAUGACAGUGGUUACAACAUAGCCUGUUCAUUGCCAUCUGGAACCGCUCAAAGGUAGCACACUUGAAUACUCUGGCAACAACCAAUUAAGCUAUGCAUAUCCAAUCAGAUACAUAUUUACAAUAUCACACACUGAACAUGUGCAUACUAUUUUAACCAGAUGUGCAUAAUAACAUGCUGCUUAUCUCUCAAACACUACAGCUCCUCCCUUGUAAAUUCAACUCGUUUUGAGAACCAUACUCUUAUUUUAUAACAAAAAACUCCUGAGUACAAAACCCAUUUACAGUAUUUUAACAUUUCCUUUUACAGGUAGCAGGAUUAUUCAAAACAAUUUGUUACACAUUUUUUUAUUUACAUCAUUUAAAUAAAAAACGUGUUCUUCCAGUAGUCCUUUUACAAGUCCAGCCUCUGUGGUGUGCAUUUGUUAUUGACAGGAUGGGGUCUCAGAACAACAUUCUGAGGCUGUGGUGGAGGCAUCUCAACUGCUUCAGUAGCUGUGCUCUGAGGCACAUUGAUCGUAUUGUCCAUCUCAAUGUCCAAAUCAAUGUCAUCAACAUCAUAAUCCCAAGAUCCACCUACAUAAAGAGAACCAUCUCCCUGUGCAAGAGCAUCAUCUUGUCUCCUUGGCAUGAUGUUAAACAUCUGAUUCACAUGUCUUUUCACAUAGUUAGCCUCAACAUUAACCAUGUAUGUGACAGGACCCAGGACCUUAGUUAUCACACCAUUCACCGUUUUUCUCCUCCCUUGUAAUUCUUUACCAAGACCGAUUGAUCAACAGAGAAGGAUCUUACCUGUGUUUUGUCACUGUUGACUUGUGACCCUUCAGUCUGUACCCUCGAAGAGAACUGUGUUUUGACCAGGGACAGUUGUAUAUGGACCUGUCUAUUUAAGAAAAGCUCUGCUGGCGUUUUCAUUGUACUACAGUUAAGGCUGGUGGGAGGAGCAAUAGGAGGACAGGCUCAUUGUAAUGGCUGGAAUGGAAUUGAUGGAACGGUAUCAAACACAUCAAACAUAUGGAAACCACAUGUUUGACUCCGUUCCAAUAAUUCCAUUCCUGCCAUUACAAUGAGCCUGUCCUCCUAUAGCUCCUCCCAUCAGCCUCCACUGGUGUACUAGGAUGUCGUGUGUUGCGGUAGCCAUAUAGGAAGUUAGCAACACAGUGUUGUAACGUCAUACCACCUACUGCUCUGUUCUUAGUUAGCGACUUCUUAAGGUUUUGCACUAGCCUUUCCGCUAACCCAUUUGAAGCUGGGUGAUAUGCAGGUGAUGUGGUAUGCUCAAUACUGUUCAAUUUUAAGAACAUUUUCAUUUCACAGGAAGUGAAUUGUGUGCCAUUAUGUGUGACUACUUCCUGGGGCAGAUCAUAGGAAGCAAACUGAUUUCUGAGUACCUCAACAGUUUUAGCUGAAGUAGGACUCUGCAUGUGUACAAUUUUUGGCCAUCUAGCAUAAGCAUCCAUAACAACCAAAAACAUUUGCUUGUGGUCUUCAGCAAAGUCUAAGUGAAUUCUCUCUCAUGGACCUGAUGCUCAUUUCCAUGUAUGUACUGGCACUUUUGCAGGCAUGCUACACUACUGCUUGCAUAUGUCUCUGACUUCAGUUUCAAUAUAUUCAUCAAGAGUAGGCCACCAGAGAAGACUUCUAACUAAGGAUUUUAUCUUAACUAUACACCAAUGACUCUCAUGUAGUUCUGCCAAUAGUCUGCUUUGCAGGCUUUGUGGAAUCACCACCCUGUAACCCCAAAGAAUAGAGUCAUCCUCAAUGGUAAGUUCAAACUUUCUUUUGACGAAAGGUUUGAAGACUUCAUUUGGUACACGGUUUGGCCAACCUGAUAUACAUACUGCUUCACCAUUUUCAAUACAGGAUCUUUCUCAGUUUCAAGUGAUAUAUCUUUAGCAGUGAUUGGCAAGUCAUCUAUAAAUUACACUCUAUCCACUGGAUUUGGUGUAGGACCCCUACAAUCUCUCAGUGGGAGUCUGGACAAUGCUUCUGCGUUGCCAUGCUGCUCUGACGGUUUGUGCUGUAUCUCAUUAUGUGUAAGCUGCUAUAAUCAAAUACCAUCGUUGCAUUCUAGCUGCUACAAGUGUUGGUACACCUAUUUUAGGAUCAAGAAUCUUAAGAAGCUUAUGGUCUGUCAGCAAGGUACAUUUCAGGGUCCUGAAAAAGGAACGUUUCUUUUUUUGCUGAGUUUAUUAGUGUGGAGGUCUUACUGUAUUGCAUUCCUCCGACACACAGUCCAAUAGGCAUGAGACCAGAGGGGUAUACUAUGAUUGAACCUAGAGAUACAAGCUAGCCAGUUUCGCUUAGCUUCACAUUCCAGCUCAUUCUUCACAAGCAUGGGAAACAGUGUUAAAACCCUUUACAAUGAAGAUCUGUGAAGAUAUUUGGAUUUUUACGAAUGAUCUUUGAAAGACAGGGUCCUGAUAAAGGGAUGUUUCUUUUUUGCUGAGUUAAGUUAAGUAAUGAAAGAAAAGACCUGAGCUCAGUGGUGUUUAGGAAUGGGAGCCUUCUCAAUAGUUUCAGUUUUCUGUUUCAUGGGGUGUAUCCCCUCUGCAUCUAGAUAGGCUACGCUGUUCUGGAAGAAAGAACAUUUCUCUUUUUUAACUUUCAGAUUGCACACUUGUUCUUUUUAGCACUUCUUCCAGAUUUCUCAUGUGCUUUUCUGUCACACCCUGUGAUAAGUAUCUCAUCAAGAUAGCAGAUGACCCCAUCUAUACCUUGCUUUUUAACAAAGCAAAUUUGAGGAAAACGCUUGCAAAGUUCUAUCAACGCAUUGACUGUUGUACUCGUGUUGCUAAAACGAUCGAUCACUGCUACUCCCCCUACCGGAAUGCCUACAAGGCCCUCCUCCGCCCUCCCUUCAACAAAUCAGAUCACGACUCCUUUUUGGUCCUCCCUUCCUAUAGGCACAAACUCAAACAGGAAGUACCCGUGCUAAGGUCUAUUCAACGCUGGUCUGACCAAUCGGAAUCCAUGCUUCAAGAUUGUUUUGAUCACGUGGACUGGGGUAUGUUCCAGGUAACCUCUGAGAAUAACAUUGAUAUAUACAUGUACACGGUGACUGAGUUAAUCGGGAAGUGUACAGGCAAUGUUGUUCCCACUGUAACUAUUAAAACCUACCUAAACCAGAAACCUUGGAUAGAUAGCAGCAUUCGCACAAAACUGAAAGUGCAAACCACCACAUUUAACCAAGACAAGGUGACUGGGAAUAUGGUCGAAUACAAAUAGUAUAGUUAUUAACUCCGUAAGGCAAUCAAACAGGCAAAACAUCAGCAUUCAGUUUUGCACGACUGCUGCCGUCUAUACAUGGUCAAAACAAUCUUGAAGCAUGGAUUCCGAUUGGUCAGACCAGCAUUGAAUAACCCUUAGCACGGGUACUUCCUGUUUGAGUUUCUGCCUACAGGAAAAGGUGGGCCGAACAGGCCCCCAUUAACAUCGACAGGUGUAGUGGAGGGCUGUAGUGGAGCGGGUCGAGAGUUUCAAGUUCCUUGGUGUCCACAUCAGCAAUGAACUAUCAUGGUCCAAACAUACCAAGACAGUCGUGAAGAGGGCAUGACAACACCUUUUCUCCCUCAGGAGACUGAAAAGAUUUGUCAUGGGUCCCCAGAUCCUUAAAAGGUUCUACAGCUGCACCAUCGAGAGCAUCCUGACUGGUUGCAUCACCACCUGGUAUGGCAACUGCUUGUCAUCUGACCUUAAGUUGCUACAGAGGGUAGUGCGUACAGCCCAUUACAUCCCUGGGGCUUAGUUUCCUGCCAUCCAGGACCUAUAUACUAGGCGGUGUCAGAGGAAAGCCACAAAAAUGGUCAAAGACUCGAGUCACCCAGGUCAUAGACUGUUUUCUCUGCUACCGCACGGCAAGCGUUAUCAGACAGGGUGGUAAAGAAGGCAACCUCAGGAGGCUGAAGAAAUUCGGCUUGGCCCCUAAGAACCUCACAAACUAUUACAGAUGCACAAUUGUUAGCAUCCUGUCAGGCUGUAUCAUCACCUGGUACGGCAACUGCACCGCCCGCAACUGCAGGACUCUCCAGAGGGUGGUGCGGUCUGUCCAACGCAUCCCCAGUGGCACACUGCCUGCCCUCCAGGACACCUAUAGCAUCCUAUGUCACAGGAAGGCCUAAAAGAUCAUCAAAGGCAUCAACCACCUGAGUCACGGCCUGUUCACCCCACUAUCAUCCAGAAGGCGAGGUCAGUACGGGUGCAUCAAAGCUGGGACCGAGAGACUGAAAAACUCGCUUCUAUCUCAAGGACAUCAGACUGUUAAAUAGCCAUCACCAGCCGGCUACCACCCGGUAACUCAACCCUGCACCUUAGAGGCUGCUGCCCUAUGUACAUAGACAUGGAAUCACUGGUCACUUUAAUAAUGGAACACUAGUCACUUUAAUAAUGUUUACAUACCCUACUGCUUUACUAAUUUCAUAAAUAUAUACUGUAUUCUAUUCUACUGUAUUUUAGUCAAUGCCACUCCGACAUUGCUCAUCCUAAUAUUUAUAUAUUUCUUAAUUCCAUUAUUUUACUUUAGAUUUGUGUGUGUUGUUGUGAAUUGUUUGAUACUACUGCACUGUUGGAGCUAUGUAGGUGCACAAGCAUUUCGCUACACCCGCAGUAACAUCUACUAAAUGUGUAUGUGACCAGUAACAUCUGCUAAAUAUGUGUAUGUGACCAAUAACAUCUGCUAAAUAUGUGUAUGUGAGCAAUAACAUCUGCUAAAUAUGUGUAUGUGAGCAGUAACAUCUGCUAAAUAUGUGUAUGUGACCAGUAACAUCUGCUAAAUAUGUGUAUGUGACCAGUAACAUCUGCUAAAUGUAUAUGUGACCAGUAACAUCUGCUAAAUAUGUGUAUGUGAUCAAUAACAUUUGCUAAAUAUGUGUAUGUGACCAAUAAGAUCUGAUUUUGGACCUGAUCCAUUAUUAUUUUUUAAAUAGCUGGAGCUUAGGCAACACCAUAAGGAAGCCUGUUGACCUUAAACAACCUUAAUGGUGCGAUAGUGCUUAGACCUCUCCUCUAACUGUACUUGCUGGUAUGCCUGUGACAAAUCCAGCUUUGUGAAUUUUUCACCCCCUGUCAGCUUUGUGAACAAGUCCUGCAUUUUUGGUAACGGAUACUGAUCUACUUCCAGACACGGAUUGAUAGUUACCUUGUAAUCUCCACAUAUUUUUACAGUAUUGUCUGUUUUCAGGAUAGACACAUUUGGAACAGCCCAUUCACUGUAGUUAACUGGAGUAAGGACCCCUUCUGACUCCAACUUGAGUAGCUGUUUUUCAACAGCUUCUCUAAGUGCAUAUGGCGCUGGGCGAGUCUUGCAGAGCUUAGGUACAGCCCCCUUAGUUACAUAUAUCUUGGCUGUGAUACGUUUUAGCAUUCCUAGCUCUGGCUGAAACACAGAGGAAUAUUUUUCACACAAACCCUCUACUGUCUCUACAGCUGUUACUCUGUGUACACAGGGAGUUUUUCCUAGCCACCGUGCUUCUACACCUGCAUUGCUUUCUGUUUGGGGUUUUAGGCUGGGUUUCUGUACAGCACUUUGAGAUAUCAGCUGAUGUAAGUAGAGCUAUAUAAAUACAUUUGAUUUGAUUUGAUACACGUGACCAGUCUAGCUUCAACUACCCAGCAGGCCAGGACCAUUUCCCUUGACCACCAGCAAGUCUAAAGAUAUAGUGCUCCCAUUACACUUGACCUUGACUCAGAUUUUCCCUCUUAGAACUAGUGACUCUUUACUGUACGUUUUUAACACAGUUUGCAGGGGUCAAUUUCGCCAUUUUGAAACUGCGGUUGUGCAACUGAUAUCACAGAAACUACUGCACAUUUAUCAACUUCCAUUUUGAGUCUCACAUCAUCUACCCUUACAUACAGUACACAUAGUACGGUUUAGUAAUGUCCUUACCUGUUUCUAAUGCAAACAGUUCAGUUCCUUUUACGUUACUCAACUCAUAGUCAGUGGUGAAAACCGCUGAUGUCCUAAUAUCAGAUGUCUCGCUCUCAUGUGAGAUGCAAUGCUCAUCACUCUGGUGCUUGAGUGCGACGCAAUGCUUGUCUCCGUUGCAAUGACGUUCUUGUCCUCUGUCUCACUGGUGUGCGUUGCCCUGGUGCUGAUCAUCGUUGCUCCUCUCAUCUUCCUGCAGUCGUAGUAAGGAGGCUUCUCCCUCAGUAGCAUCCAGGUGCUUGUUCCAUUUCGCUUGCUUCGUGUCAUUUUUUUCCCCGCUUGACGUGAGCGGCAUGCCCCUGCAAUAUGUCCUUUUCUUCUUGCACUCCCGAUCCUUGUAGCAGCACUCAUCUGACUUGUGCCCUUUUCCUGCGCAAUGUCAACAUGGUUAACCUGUUGCCUCCAUUUUCUUGGCAAAGCUUUUCUUCUCCACUGCAUUUUCUUUAAAAGUCUGUGAAAACUGCUGUGCACUUUUCUUUGUUACUUCAAAAGAAAGUCCCAUAUCCACAGCAAGUGCUAAUGUUAAGUAUGUUGUGUGAGCUACGUUCAGUAAACGGUCUCUCAGCUCUGCUCUUUUAACCCUGCACACAAAUCUAUCACUUAAUGACUCUUCAAGAAACUAACCAAAUUUACAUUUGGCUGAUAGUUAAACUGGUCAGGUACUCACUAAUCAACUCUCCCUCGAGUUGACUCCUUGCAUGAAACUUAAAAUUCAUCCUCGCUACGUAGUGACUUUUCAACAGUGCGACCAGCUCUGUCAACAUUUUUUCACAUGGUUUCUAUGGUGCACAUAAGUCCAUUCACAAAUUGUCAGUCUUUCUGCCAACAAUCGUCAGAAAAAUUCAUCCUCGUACUUGAGCCCAUUAGCUUCAAAAUACCGUUCCAACCUUUCCAAAUAGGCUUCGAAACUUUCCUCACUUUCCUCGAAGUGAAAAGCCUUGCCUAACGCCAUCUUCGGUGCUAGCUUUUCUACACAGGCUGUCUCGACGGAGCUAGCACUUUUUUGCUCGCUCUGUUCCCUUUCAGACAAAAACUCUGGUACCUCAUUGCCAAUCUGUUGCAUCCCCGGUUAAAGGAAGCUGCUCUUUUUAGUUCUUGCAAAGAGAAACUUAAUAUCACAAAGACGGUUUGACAGCGGAUACAACAUAGCCUGUUCCAAGCUGAGUCCAUCUGCACCCGCUCACAGGCGUGUAACGAGCUGGGUCAGAUCUGGAUGGAGUCAGGUGUGAGUGGGAAUGCUGUGCCUGGGCACAUCCCGCUCAUCAUAGUGGGGGAGAACCCCUGCUUCACAGCAUGUCACAAUACACACACUUACUCUAUAAGCAAUUGUUUUCUAUUUAAUCAAUAUAAAUGUCUGUAGACUCAUAACACAAGAUUUGGUGGCCUGUGUGGUUAUUGCCGCAGACCCUGGCACACGUAUGGCCUAGUCUACUAGAGGUUGCAUCAGUUAGAAUCCGACCCACCGGCCUUCUCUGGCAACCUGUCCUACAUUUAAUGUCUCCUUUUCCCUCUCCUUUACCCUUAUCUCAAUAAAAUAAAUAAAACCUGUCAAAUAAACAGUACCAGUCAAAAGUUUGGACACAUCUACCCAUUCCAGGGUUUUUCUUUAUUUGUAUUAUUUUCUACCUUGUAGAAUAAUAGUGACGACAUCAAAACUAUGAAAUAACACAUAUGGAAUCAUUUAGUAACCAAAAAAGUGUUUAACAAAUCAAAAUAUAUUUUAUAUUUGAGAUUUUUCAAAGUAG
rnacentral:lncRNA from 1 species